AACAAACAAAAUAUAGAAAAAAACAUUAUAAAAUAUAUUCGAACAAAAAGUCAAAAAAAAAAAAUAGAAGAAAUUAUUCAAACAAAAAGUCAAAAGAAGUAUUAAUAAACGUAUUCGAAAAAAAUAUUAAAAAAUUAGAAAAAAAUAUACGAACAAAAUAUCAAAAAGUGUAAGAAAAAAUAUAAAAAAUAAUUUAAUAAUAUAUUCGAACAAAACAUCAAAAAAAUGUUAAUAACUGUAAUACAAAUAAAAUAACUAAUAAUAAUAAUAAAUAAUAUAUGGCGUUACAUAAAUGGUCAUUGCGGCUGGAACAAAGUACAUAAAUGGUCCCUAUGGUACAGUGGCGGAGCUUGAACAACUAACUUGGGGGGGCCGAAAAUAUUAUAAACUGAAAUUAACAUUCUUAAAAAAAAAACAAAUUGUUUUCAACAAAUAAACACCAAAAACACAUAGAAAAAUGAUUACAACUCAGCACAACGACCUUUAAUGUCUUUAUAUUCAUCAAUUCGUUUCUUUAUCAUCUACCUUUCUUUUGUAAAAAUAAUCUAAGGCUUUCAUCUUUCCCAUGAUUAUAUCUACAAAAAUCAAAACGAAGGAACAAUUAUUCAAUCAAAAUCAAAAAUAUAAAGAUAACCAAUAACUCAUUUAACAAUUAACAAUAUGUGAAAACUGAAAAAUGAAAAAAAUGAAUUGAAAUCAAAAGUGAUUAAGUGAAAACAGAUCAAUGACCAAAUGACCAAAUCAAUAAUCUCUUGUUGAUUUUCAGUUUUGUUUGAAGCAUAAGUGCAUAACCAAAUGACCAAAUCAAUAAUUUUAUGUUCCUUUUUGGUGUCCUAGAGCUUACAUUAAAUCAUAAGUCAUAACUGUCAACAAUUAAUUUAAUCCAAAACUGAAAUCAAAAGGUUAUUAAUUGGCAUUUAGCAAAUGACAGCUAAGUUAAAAAGAAAUUCUAAUUCCUAAUUUGGAGUUUGGACCGAGAGAAUUAGGGAAACUCAGAAACAGCAAAUAGCAGCAGCACAACAAUGAACAAUCAACAUUCAGCAAUUAACAAUCAAAAGAAUUAAAGAAAGAACAUCAGAAGUAGAACUAGAAAAGAAAGAACAGGAUUCGCCGAUUCGGGAAUCGGGAUUCCAUACGAGACCAUACCUGAUUUCUGAUUUUCUAUUUUCUGUGAAUGGCGACUUCAAGACUUGGCGAAUGGCGAUGGCCGAUGGCGAGACUUCAGACUCGAGAGUGAGACCAGGCGGAGACAACGACAGUGCGACACAAUGCGAGACAGCAACAAAGGUCACAACAGAAAGCGAGAAGCGAUUUAGCGAAUUGGGAAAUUGGAUGAAUGAUUUUGAUUUCUUGAAGAAUCGCUUGGAGAAUUCGUAUAUUGGACUAUUGGAGAUUUGGAGUCUGUGAGGGAUCGGGAGGGGCCAAAGCCCAAAUUUGAAAAGAGCAGCCAAUAACAAAAUUUUUUUGAACUAUAAUCCCUGCUUCUAGCCCAAAAAUCAGGGGGGGAGGGCACUGCCCCUCCUGCCCCCAAAGAAACUCCGCC
rnacentral:lncRNA from 1 species